rnacentral:rRNA from 1 species
UGUACCUACGGGGGGCAGCAGUGAGGAAUAUUGGUCAAUGGGCGGGAGCCUGAACCAGCCAAGUCGCGUGAGGGAAGAAGGUACUGAGUAUUGUAAACCUCUUUUGCCAGGGGACAAAGGCGGCCACGGGUGGCCGUAAGAGGGUACCUGGAGAAAAAGCAUCGGCUAACUCCGUGCCAGCAGCCGCGGUAAUACGGAGGGCGCGAGCGUUAAUCGGAAUUACUGGGCGUAAAGCGCGCGUAGGCUGUUGUGUAAGUUGGGGGUGAAAUCCCACGGCUCAACCGUGGAACAGCCCUUGAUACUGC